rnacentral:rRNA from 1 species
GAUGAACGCUGGCGGCGUGCCUAAUACAUGCCAGUCGAGCGAACAGACGAGGAGCCUGCUCCUCUGACGUUAGCGGCGGACGGGUGAGUAACACGUGGAUAACCUACCUAUAAGACUGGGAUAACUUCGGGAAACCGGAGCUAAUACCGGAUAAUAUAUUGAACCGCAUGGUUCAAUAGUGAAAGACGGUUUUGCUGUCACUUAUAGAUGGAUCCGCGCCGCAUUAGCUAGUUGGUAAGGUAACGGCUUACCAAGGCAACGAUGCGUAGCCGACCUGAGAGGGUGAUCGGCCACACUGGAACUGAGACACGGUCCAGACUCCUACGGGAGGCAGCAGUAGGGAAUCAUCCGCAAUGGGCGAAAGCCUGACGGAGCAACGCCGCGUGAGUGAUGAAGGUCUUCGGAUCGUAAAACUCUGUUAUUAGGGAAGAACAAAUGUGUAAGUAACUAUGCACGUCUUGACGGUACCUAAUCAGAAAGCCACGGCUAACUACGUG